AUUGCUUUGCUUAUUGCAUGCUAAUUGCUGAAAAUUGCUUUUUAUUUUAAAUUCCUUAGCUAAAAAUUGCUUUUUCUUUCAUAUUUCUCUGCUUAUUGAAUGACUAUUGCUAACUCAUUAGAUAGAACCUAAUUCUCAUAUAAGUAGGUGGAUGCGGCCUCGAUUAGCGGGGGAACCACAUGUAAAAAAGCGAGCUACUGGGUGUACCUCCUGGGUAGUUUGGAAAUCACCUAAUAUAUAUAUGUAUAUAUUUAUAAAUAAAAGUUAAUAUAUAUAAAUUAACAUUAAUUUUUUUUUAACAGGAAAUGCACAAUGCUAAAAACUGCGUAGGAGAUUUUAAUACAAUAGUACUACCAAGCCUGAUGUUGGCCGCUAUUUCAAUGAAUGCAGCAGUGUGACAGCUAGCAAUCAAAAGUAACAAGAUAUCGAGGAAAUGCAGAUGGCAAUAAACUGUGUAGGAGUUCAUGAUUGCAAUAGAAUAAAAUCGACCAAGCCUGAAGUCAGCAGCCCCUUCAAUGAAUGCAGCAGUGUGACAGCCAGCAAUCAAAAGUUACAAGAUAUCGAGGAAAUGCAGAUGGCAAUAAACUGUGUAAGAGUUCAUGAUUGCGAUAGAAUAAAAUCGACCAAGCCUGAAGUCAGCAGCCCCUUCAAUGAAUGCAGCAGUGUGACAGCCAACAAUCAAAAGUUACAAGAUAUCGAGGAAAUGCAGAAGGCAAAAAACUGCGUAGGAGAUCAUUAAUACAAAAGUAUUAUAUAAACCAAACCUGAUGUUGCCAGCUCCUUCAAUGAAUGCAGCAGUGUGACAGCCAGCAAUCAAAAGUAACAAGAUGUCGAGGAAAUGCAGAAGGCAAAAAACUGCGUAGGAGAUCAUUAAUACAAUAGUAUUAUAUAAACCAAGCCUGAUGUUGGCCGCUCAUUCAAAGAAUGCAGCAGUGUGACAGCCAGCAAUCAAAAGUAACAAGAUGUCGAGGAAAUGCAGAGUGCAAUAAACUGUGUAGGAGAUUAUGAUUGCAAUAGAAUAAAAUCGACCAAGCCUGAAGUCCUUCAAUGCACGCAGCAGUGUGACAGCCAGCAAUUAAAAGUUACAAGAUAUCGAGGAAAUGCAGAAGGCAAAAAACUGCGUAGGAGAUUAUUAAUACAAUAGUAUUAUAUCAACCAAGCCUGAUGUCGGUAGCUUCUUCAAUGAAUGCAGCAGUGUGACAGCCAGCAAUCAAUAGUAACAAGAAUCUAGGAAACACAGAAGGCAAAGAAGCAGAUGUCAUCAAAAAAGAUCUUUGUUCCUGCAAUGUUUCCGCAGACGAUACAUCCAACAGAGCGAAGUGGAAGGAAAAGACUCGGAAAAAAGACCCCACCACCAUAUGGGAACAAUGCAAGGGAGAGAGAGAGAAUAUAAUGUUAUAUUUUUAUUUUUUGAUAACAUAAAAUAAACCAACAAUAUCCUA